CCUACUCCGCCUUUGCUCCGCCGCCGCCGCUACUACUCAGUCUCUCGGGUCAAGUUUCUAUACUUUCCUUUUGCAUCAUCACAUCCAGCAAAGGACGCCCAGAACAGAAGCACGAGGAGGCGAAAGGCCGUCAAUGCGGAAGUGAAAGGAAAGCUUGGGCCGUCAUGUGGUUUUCUAGGGAGAAUGCAGGAGUGGUUUACCAUUGCCUUCCUCCCGCGCAGCACCUGAAGAUACAGCCCCAAGGAGGUCUCUGUGGAGGAGUCACUUCAGACAUUAUUGAUGUGGCAGUUAAAUAUAACAGCUUUCCAGUCUGUGAUGAAAGGGACACGACCUGCUAUUCAAAUGCAACGUCAGACGAAGGAGGAGAAGCCUGUCACUGGAGUCCGUGAGCCUGGAGCAGACUGUCCUGUCGGAGUGUACACCCCUCCUGAGCUCUGCGUUGUGAUGACAGUCUGGAAGUAAGGGUCCGCCUCGCUUGCUACGCAUUCCUCAUACCUGUACGGCGCCGGAUGCUUCGUGCCCUUUUGCUGCCGUUUCCAUGAAUUGUAGUACGUGGGGUCACUCAUAUAAUGGUUCACAAAAGAGUGCUUGGGCAACUCGUCUUCGUAGUCUGAAUCCGUGGCCUGUGGUUUGAGAGAGGAACAAAAACAGCCGGCCGUUUUCAGCAGUGGAUCAGGUGCGAACGGCAAACUACCCAUGUGCAUCAUGGGGAAAACUGGCAUGGAACAAAAGGAGGAGAAAGAAAAGGAAAAGAGCCCAAAUUGCAAAUUAGGAAAAGAAUGACGGCUACCCGAAAAAAGCUGAGAGCAAAGGGUCCAACUAUUAAAG